rnacentral:rRNA from 1 species
UGGGGAAUAUUGGACAAUGGGGGCAACCCUGAUCCAGCCAUGCCGCGUGUGUGAAGAAGGCCCUCGGGUUGUAAAGCACUUUCAGCGAGGAAGAACGCCUAGCGGUUAAUACCCGCUAGGAAAGACAUCACUCGCAGAAGAAGCACCGGCUAACUCCGUGCCAGCAGCCGCGGUAAUACGGAGGGUGCAAGCGUUGUUCGGAAUCACUGGGCGUAAAGCGCACGUAGGUGGGCAGUUAAGUCAGGGGUGAAAGCCCGAGGCUCAACCUCGGAAUUGCCUCUGAUACUGGCUGUCUAGAGUUCGAGAGAGGUGAGUGGAAUUCCUAGUGUAGAGGUGAAAUUCGUAGAUAUUCGCAGGAACACCAGUGGCGAAGGCGACUUGCUGGACUUGUGGUGACGCUGAGGUACGAAAGCGAGGGGAGCAAACAGGAUUAGAUACCCAUGUAGUCCCUGAGCGGGCUGGCAAGGCGCAU